rnacentral:rRNA from 1 species
UACGUAGGUGACAAGCGUUGUCCGGAUUUACUGGGCGUAAAGAGCGCGCAGGCGGUCGUUCAAGUCGAGUGUGAAAGCCCCCGGCUCAACUGGGGAGGGUCACUCGAUACUGAUCGACUCGAAGACAGGAGAGGGAAGCGGAAUUCCCGGUGUAGUGGUGAAAUGCGUAGAUAUCGGGAGGAACACCAGUGGCGAAGGCGGCUUUCUGGCCUGUUCUUGACGCUGAGGCGCGAAAGCUAGGGGAGCAAACGGGG